UACAGAGGGUGCAAGCGUUGUUCGGAAUUACUGGGCGUAAAGCGCAUGUAGGCGGCUUUCUAAGUCUGGUGUGAAAGCCCGGGGCUCAACCCCGGAAGUGCACUGGAUACUGGUUAGCUAGAGGACGAGAGAGGAUAGUGGAAUUCCUGGUGUAGGGGUGAAAUCCGUAGAUAUCAGGAGGAACAUCAGUUGCGAAGGCUGCUAUCUGGCUCGUUUCUGACGCUGAGAUGCGAAAGCGUGGGGAGCAAACAGG
rnacentral:rRNA from 1 species